rnacentral:lncRNA from 1 species
ACAAGUGAGUCAAUAACGAAAUGACUCACUUGCAGAAUGCUCCGACUGACUCACAUAGUUGUAAAAAAUGAGUCAAGAUCGGCGAUUGACUCAUUUACAAAAAAAAUGAGUCAAGAAUAAAGCCGUGCGCGCAUGCGCUACUUGCACGCUAUGACGUCAACCAUCGCGCGAACCAUUCCCGUUUGACGUCGCCAUUGCUGAAUUGGAUCAAGAGAAUACUGGCUACUGGAAGAAGUCACUACGCAACAGAUUCAGGAAUUGCAGGAAGUGUCAUGAACGUGAUAAUCCAUUAGGACAAAUGGAAGCAAAAAAAGGGGACUACACCCAAACCAGACAAAGCUGCAGGCAAACACACGUAUGGCAUAAAGAAAGUACCUUCCUGCAUCCCCAGAAGGUGAGGAUGAAGAAACGAUCAAUGCUCACAUCAAGAUGCUUCAGAAUGAAUCCAGAAAAACAAGACAGGACAGCUUGAUGAUAGACAACCUACUAACUUUAGCCCAUAGGCGCAAGGGUAUCAUCAACAGCAACUGGACUGAAUCCUACUUGAAGGAUAUGUACCCUUACCUUUUCCAUGAAGAUGAGAGAUUGAGAGACUGUCAGAGGACCCAAUUAAGCAGAAGUUGGAAGCAGGACAUUUGAAUAUGCUGAUCCAUUACUAGAGAUAUGUAAGACUCCCAAGCAAGGUUUGGAGCUCAAAAACCUAAUCUUGGCUGCAGCAGCAGAAAAUGAAGACACCAGGAAAAUGAUCAAAUCAUGUGGAGCACUUCUGUUGAUUCCUACUAUUUUUGGAGAGAAGGCAUUGCUUUGUCAGCAUAGCCAGG